GACGAACGCUGGCGGCGUGCUUAACACAUGCCAGUCGAACGGAAAGGCCCUGCUUUUGUUGGGUGCUCGAGUGGCGAACGGGUGAGUAACACGUGAGUAACCUGCCCUUGACUUUGGGAUAACUUCAGGAAACUGGGGCUAAUACCGGAUAGGAGCUCCUGCUGCAUGGUGGGGGUUGGAAAGCUUCGGCGGUUGUGGAUGGACUCGCGGCUUAUCAGCUUGUUGGUGGGGGAGUGGCUUACCAAGGCUUUGGCGGGUAGCCGGCCUGAGAGGGUGAACGGCCACAUUGGGACUGGGAUACGGCCCAGACUCCUACGGGAGGCAGCAGUGGGGAAUAUUGCACCAUGGGCGGAAGCCUGAUGCAGCAACGCCGCGUGCGGGAUAACGGCCUUCGGGUUGUAAACCGCUUUCGCCUGUGACGAAGCGUGAGUGACGGUAAUGGGUAAAGAAGCACCGGCUAACUACGUG
rnacentral:rRNA from 1 species